GACGCUUCGAUCAGUUAACGCGACUGCUCGUGACUGAUAAAGCAGACACGUCGAGAGUAAAGCCUUCUCAAUGCACGUUCGAUUUAGUUUUAUUCGUUAAAUAUACCGUAUUUUAAUAUAGAUAUCACUGGUACAGUCUACGAGCGUUUACAAUUGAAGACCAUAGGAGACAAACAUGAUAUAUACUAAGUUCCUAUGCAUUCAUGGGAUAUUUAAAAAUGCAAGAAUGUCAAUGUGGACAUUCCUGACCGAAAUACAGAAACAAAAAAUCAACGAAUCGAAUGAAGCGUCGUAGGAGAAGCGUGCGAUUCUUCGUGUCUGACCAUGACCUGGAAAAAUCUACUUGCUUCAGUUCCGCAAGGAAAUGGGAUUGCGACGGAAUUGGAAAUUUCAGGGGAAAUGGGACCUAGAUUUUUGAUACGUCGGAAAAAUUGUGCUGGUUCAUUUUCUUUCAAAUGUUAACCUUAAUUCAGAAGCUAUCGCUGUUUCUCAAAUUACUUUUUGUAUUUUUCCUUUUCGCUCUUCUUCGAUAUCAAGUGACCUAAAAGUUGGAUACCUAAGUAUGAGGAGGUUGUAGAUUUUAGAUUUCAUUUUAUUUGUACAUUAUAUUAUUUUCCUUUAUUGUCAUUUCAUUGUACUAUAUGCAAAUCAUUUCUUUAUAACCGCAUUUUACCUUAAUUAAAUAUUUUCAGAGUAGGUUGCGCGUUAUCUAAACAUCUAAUUUUUAAAUUACUCUGAGUGCAUCUAAGUAAUUAAAUAACUAAAGUUAUUACUUGACUCAUUUUAGAUUAGUUUCUAACUAGCAGAUAAGUAUUCAAUUAAUUUAUAUAGUAUAUAUAAGGCUAGUUUUCCAAUUUUCUAUUCAAAGUCAAAAAUUGUAAAUUGUUUCACCGCCAAACAAUCAAAACUCCGCCGGUAGAUUCCGCAAUUUAUUAAAAUAUACCUAGAAAUAAAAAAAGAGGAAGAACGA